GAAUAUUGGACAAUGGGGGGAACCCUGAUCCAGCCAUGCCGCGUGUGUGAAGCAGGCCUUUUGGUUGUAAAGCACUUUAAGCGAGGAGGAGGCUACUUAGAUUAAUACUCUUGGAUAGUGGACGUUACUCGCCUAAUAAUCACCUGCUAACUCUGCGCCCGCAGCCGCGGUAAUACAGCGGGUGCAAGCGUUAAGCGGAUUUACUGGGCGGAAAGCGCGCGUAGGGGGCCAAGUAAGUAAAAUGUGAAAUCCCCGAGCUUAACGUGGGAAUUGCAUUCGAUACUGGUUGGCUAGAGUAUGGGAGAGGAUGGUAGAAUUCCAGGUGUAGCGGUGAAAUGCGUAGAGAUCUGGAGGAAUACCGAUGGCGAAGGCAGCCAUCUGGCCUAAUACUGACACUGAGGUGCGAAAGCAUGGGGAGCAAACA
rnacentral:rRNA from 1 species